rnacentral:rRNA from 1 species
GCGCACGGGUGAGUAACGCGUGGGAACCUGCCUUUCUCUGCGGGACAACGGUUGGAAACGGCCGCUAAUACCGCAUACGCCCUACGGGGGAAAGGUCAGCCGGAGAAAGAGGGGCCCGCGUUUGAUUAGCUAGUUGGUGGGGUAAUGGCCUACCAAGGCGACGAUCAAUAGCUGGUCUGAGAGGAUGAUCAGCCACACUGGGACUGAGACACGGCCCAGACUCCUACGGGAGGCAGCAGUGGGGAAUAUUGGACAAUGGGGGCAACCCUGAUCCAGCAAUGCCGCGUGUGUGAUGAAGGCCCUAGGGUUGUAAAGCACUUUCACUGGUGAAGAUGAUGACGGUAACCAGAGAAGAAGCCCCGGCUAACUUCGUGCCAGCAGCCGCGGUAAUACGAAGGGGGCGAGCGUUGUUCGGAAUUACUGGGCGUAAAGGGCGCGUAGGCGGCUCUUUAAGUUAGGCGUGAAAGCCCCGGGCUCAACCUGGGAACUGCGCUUAAGACUGGAGAGCUAGAAAACGGAAGAGGGUAGUGGAAUUCCCAGUGUAGAGGUGAAAUUCGUAGAUAUUGGGAAGAACACCAGUGGCGAAAGCGGCUACCUGGUCCGGAUUUGACGCUGAGGCGCGAAAGCGUGGGGAGCAAACAGGAUUAGAU